GCCGGAUUCGAGAUAAGCGAGGCGCUUCCAAGCUCCACUCGCUGUGAAGGAAACCGCAGGAUCACCUUUUGCUCUUUUUGUUGCAAGCAGGCAGCGUGAAUGCUUUGCAUUGCUAGCACACGACGAACAUAUAUAAGGACACGCUAGUAAACUCCUCAAACUCGUUCAUUGAGCAAAAACUGCAGGAGCUCAUAACCGCGGCAAGAGUCCAGUGAUGGUACAUG